GCUCCAACCAGUGUGGAGUCAGAAGGAGGGAGGGAGCAGUGACAGCAGAGCAGGUUUACCCAGGGCCGUAAACACGUUUAAGGAGGCCCGAGUCUCAGCAUCCAAACACCAGGACCAGAUCCUGAACGAAUUACUUCGUGCACUGAGGCAGCUUUGGUGUUUUCCUCAUGCUUUGCACUGAUGGUGGAGUCAGGAGCAUCUCCGAGCUCUGCAGUCUGUGAGUGCUCCCACUGAGAGCUGCAGAUUAAUGAAAGAGAAGAAGAAUGGGACCUCCCACUGACGAUCAGGAGGAAUUUCUCUGUGAAAAUAUAAAGGAUGUUUUUCUGCAGAGAGCACAGAGAGAAAACCAGGCUCCACCUCCCCCUCCACGAGGAGAAAGACUCUAAAGUGAUGGAGAAUUGCACAGAGAGCGUCAGAGAGCAGGAGAAAUGCAGGACAGGCUCGCUGUUUCCUGUCUUCGUUUCCCUCUCCUGCCCUCAAUGGAUUGCAGGUGUUAAACGAAGUGGCGGUGGAUUUCCCACCUGAGUCCCGGCCUAGAGGCAACAGCUGUCCAGUACAUUCAUUAAAUACAAAGAAUAAGAAGCACAGUGGCUAAUGCAUGUGGGGAUUUCCGGCGUCUGCAGGUACACCAUCAGUGUUUUCAUAAAAAGCCUGUUAUGCUCGGCUCAUGUAAACCCAAAUCAGGUACCAGGGUGAGAAACUCAACUCACAGCGACAGGAGACAGGACUGCUGCCCGGCUUCGCUCUGACUGGCUCAGAGACCUUUACUGUCAUAUUGAGUUUGAAAGUCUCUGAAAAAAAACAAGCAGGGGUCAGAGUGUUCCUCCACUUCUCCAGGGCACUAAUGAGUUGUUGUUUGAUUUCUGACCUUCAGCAUCAAUCAGCAUCCAAACCUUGAGCCAAAAACAAGGACACAGUCCAAACUGUGCACCAUAAUUACUUUCACACCGCUCAGCCUGCCCUUCUUCUUGUUCCUCCACCCUGAAUCCUUCCUCUGCUGGGAGGAACGAUUCAUUUUUCUUCUGUCCACAGCAUUUUGACUGGAUAUCAUCCAUCAGCUCCAUCAAAGCUGCCCUUUUUUCUGUGGUGUUGCUCAGUAACCCAAACUGAAGUUCAAUCAAACUCAGACUUCUGUGCUUGAGGUUCCUUAAACUUCUCUGUGGUCACAUCCAUCCUACUUCUCCUCCUCCUCCUCUGUUUUCCACCUGAAAGCUCUUCAGAGAUGUGAUUGGGGCCUGGAGCAGUGUUUCUGUGGUCCAUUCUGUGAUAUUCUUCAUGCCAGAACACACACGUUCUGGUGAAUUUUUUAAAAGGACACCACUUCAUUUUAAACGAGUGGUAGGAAAAUCAAAAUGAGUCAUCAAAGACUCAUCACAGCUAUGACAAA